rnacentral:rRNA from 1 species
GAAGUAAAAGUCGUAACAAGGUCUCCGUAGGUGAACCUGCGGAGGGAUCAUUACUGAGUGAGGGCCUUCGGGCUCGACCUCCAACCCUUUGUGAACACAACUUGUUGCUUCGGGGGCGACCCUGCCGUUUCGACGGCGAGCGCCCCCGGAGGCCUUCAAACACUGCAUCUUUGCGUCGGAGUUUAAGUAAAUUAAACAAAACUUUCAACAACGGAUCUCUUGGUUCUGGCAUCGAUGAAGAACGCAGCGAAAUGCGAUAAGUAAUGUGAAUUGCAGAAUUCAGUGAAUCAUCGAAUCUUUGAACGCACAUUGCGCCCCUUGGUAUUCCGAGGGGCAUGCCUGUUCGAGCGUCAUUUCACCACUCAAGCCUCGCUUGGUAUUGGGCGCCGCGGUGUUCCGCGCGCCUCAAAGUCUCCGGCUGAGCUGUCCGUCUCUAAGCGUUGUGAUUUCAUUAAUCGCUUCGGAGCGCGGGCGGUCGCGGCCGUUAAAUCUUUCAUAAGGUUGACCUCGGAUCAGGUAGGGAUACCCGCUGAACUUAAGCAUAUCAAUAAGCGGAGGAA